rnacentral:rRNA from 1 species
UAGGGAAUCUUCGGCAAUGGACGAAAGUCUGACCGAGCAACGCCGCGUGAGUGAAGAAGGUUUUCGGAUCGUAAAACUCUGUUGUUAGAGAAGAACAAGGACGUUAGUAACUGAACGUCCCCUGACGGUAUCUAACCAGAAAGCCACGGCUAACUACGUGCCAGCAGCCGCGGUAAUACGUAGGUGGCAAGCGUUGUCCGGAUUUAUUGGGCGUAAAGCGAGCGCAGGCGGUUUCUUAAGUCUGAUGUGAAAGCCCCCGGCUCAACCGGGGAGGGUCAUUGGAAACUGGGAGACUUGAGUGCAGAAGAGGAGAGUGGAAUUCCAUGUGUAGCGGUGAAAUGCGUAGAUAUAUGGAGGAACACCAGUGGAGAAGGCGGCUCUCUGGUCUGUAACUGACGCUGAGGCUAGAAAGCGUGGGGAGCAAACAGG